rnacentral:rRNA from 1 species
GAUGAACGCUGGCGGCGUGCCUAAUACAUGCAAGUCGAGCGAACAGAUAAGGAGCUUGCUCCUUUGACGUUAGCGGCGGACGGGUGAGUAACACGUGGGUAACCUACCUAUAAGACUGGGAUAACUUCGGGAAACCGGAGCUAAUACCGGAUAAUAUUUCGAACCGCAUGGUUCGAUAGUGAAAGAUGGUUUUGCUAUCACUUAUAGAUGGACCCGCGCCGUAUUAGCUAGUUGGUAAGGUAACGGCUUACCAAGGCAACGAUACGUAGCCGACCUGAGAGGGUGAUCGGCCACACUGGAACUGAGACACGGUCAAGACUCCGACGGGAGGCAGCAGUAGGGAAUCUUCCGCAACGGGAGAAAGCCUGACGGAGCAACGCCGCGUGAGUGAUGAAGGUCUUCGGAUCGUAAAACUCUGUUAUUAGGGAAGAACAUACGUGUAAGUAACUGUGCACGUCUUGACGGUACCUAAUCAGAAAGCCACGGCUAACUACGUG